GAGAGGGGGAGAAGGAGAGCAGGAGGAGGAGGAAGAGGUGAAUUUCCAGAACAGAGGGGUCCUGGGUCUCUCAGCUGCCAGCUCUGACCUCUGGAGAUGCACAGAAGGACAAAGCAAGAGGCAUCAAGGACGGAGAGGAGGGUCUCAAGUCCGAAUCCUGUUAACACUCCAGUUGCCUUUACAUGCCAGUUGAUGAGGUAGAGAAGAGGAAGGAAAACCGUGACACAGAGAAGAAAACAUUCGAAGGAGCGGCUUCUCUGGACCAAAAUCUAUUCUCCCAGUGGGCCUCCGCUGAUGGGACAAAUUGAAGCUCGGCUAUUUAGAAGCAACAGCAGAGCAAAUUCUCUCAUGAAAGACCCAUCAUGUUUUCUCCUUGGGAGAAAAGAAACCAACCAACAACCCGCUAUUGUUGUCCAAAAUAUUACCUUCGGGGGCAACUCCCCACGCUGUAGGAGUGUAAUUGUAUCCAUGAAUUAACUGUGGAAGACAGGCCUUACAAAACAA